GCCAGACGAGUGCGCUACCACUGAGCCACAACCCCAACCCCUUUUAAAUUUUUUUUUUUUAAUUUUAAUUUUUAUUUUUUAGAUGUUGAUAGACUUUAUUUUUUUAUUUAUACAUGGUGCUGAGAAACGAACCCAGGGCCUCACACAUGCUAGGCAAGUGUGCUAUCGCUAAGCCACAAUCCGAGCCCCAAGCCCUUUUCAUUUUAAGUCUUGGUCUCACUAAAUUGCCCAAGCUGGCUGGGUCCAUAGCGCACACCUAUAAUCCCAGUGACUGAAGAAGUUGAGGCGGAGGAUCCUUAAAUUCAAGACCAGCCUGGGAGGCCAUGUCUUUUUUCUUUUGUUCUUUUCUUUCUUUCUUUGGUACCGGGAUUGAAUCCCAGGGGUGCUUAACCACUGAGCCACAUCCCCAGCCCCUUAUUUUAUUUAGAGUUGCUUAGGGACUUGCUAAGUUUCUCACGCUGGCUUUGAACUCAGUCCUCCUCCCUCCACUGGGAUUACAAGUAUGUGCCAUGCACCCUGCUUUGAGACCAUGUCUUAAUGAAAAGGUCUGGGGAUGUAGCUCAGUGGUAGAGCACCCCUGGGUUCAAUCCCCAGUACCACCACCACAGUAAUAAUAAUAAGGCUGGCCUUGAACCUGUUAAACUCCCAAGUUGCUGGGGUCACAGGUGUGUGCCACCGUGCCCCCACCCCACCUCCUUCCAACUCACUCAUGUUCAAUGAAGGUAAACAAGCUGUCAAAAUGUCUAAAGCUUCCUUCUUGACCCUGGGUUCUCAGAGAUGAAUUGAACUUUCCUCCCAUCCUUCUCACCUGCUCACCCCUAUCCUGCUGUGCCCCAAUUCUCACCUUCACAAGGGACCUGCUG
rnacentral:lncRNA from 1 species